GUCAGCUUUGCCGGGAGCUGGUCGGCAAGCAUUUGUAGCAAGCCAGCUGGAGAGGGCUGGGGUGCCUGCCUGUCUCAGAAUGGCCUCCACGCAGGGCUCUCCCUGACUCCACUCUCCUUUCCAAGUCACCUCACACCACAGUGAAAGCAGCAGAGGACUCAGUGGCCCAAAUGCAGGGGAGUCCAUUCCUCUGAUUCCUCUACCAAUGACACCCACUUCCUGCAGGCAUCAGGGCUGAGCCAGGCAUGGGCCAUGCCCUGCCCACUCCAGUGAGAUGGGUCAUUCACGCUGGGAAACCCACGUUACAUGGGACAUCAAGCCGGCUAACCUGCAUUCCCCAAGAUUCAUAUGCUGAGUCUUAACCCCCAGCAGCACAGAACGUGACUGUAUUUGCGGUAGCGCCUUUAAGGAGCUAAUGGAGGUGAAAUGGGGUCACUGGGGUGGCUCCUAAUGUAGUGGGACUGAUGUCCUCUUAAGGAGAGGAAAUUUGGACAGUGACACACACAGAGGCACAACCUUGGGAGGUCACAGGGUGGAGAUGGCAUCCACAAGCCAAGGAGAGAAGCCUCAGGAGAAACCAGCCCUGCAGACACCGUGGACUUGGACUUCCAGCUGCCAGAAUGGGGCGUUACAGACCCAUUUUACAGAAGAGGAGAAGCCCAUGGUGCAACUGUCUUGGUGGUGAAGGUGGCAGUAGCUCUCACACACUGAGCCCUGGGGUGUAAGAGUUCACUGCACGGUCUCCAGGACUCGUGUAAUCCUCAUGAGAACCCUGCCAGCUACAUAUCUUGUCCUGACACAACAGAGGCGUGAGGGGCUGCAGUGACUCUCACCCAGCCAGGUCUACUUCGAUGAUCCUCGCUGCAACCACUAUGCUUUGGGUCUCUGUUACUCAACACCUACCUUGCCAACACCUAGAAUAGGGUUCAGCCAAGUGGCUGUGGCGAAUGUGGGCUACGUGAGGAUCCUGCUCCAUAAAGACCCCACUCUGGGCUGUCAUUCAGAAUUACUCUGGAAAGAAAGUUGUGGUUCAGCGUGUCGCUUACUGCCAGCGAUCAAAGCAUCCAGGUUUAAUUUUGCCAAUCCCUGGGGGUCCUCGACAUCAGAGGGGCUGGUGGUUGUUGAUCCAUACACAAGCUAGGAGGUAAGGAAGACCCCGGCCCCCCCCGGCUGCUGUCCCCCACACCACUGGAAGACCGGAUGCUGGGCCUUCUGUUUCUCUCCAGGUGUGUGGGCUCGCCCGUGAGAUGGCCUCUUGUUGGAGGGAACACUGGGUCCUGCACCCCCAGGGAAGCUCCCGCGAGGACCGAUUAAACAGUGUUGUCAAUGUCACCAAGACUGCUCUGUAUAAACCAAAUGAAGGCCCUCAGGUCAGAUGAGAUAAUAAAGAGGAUAUUUCUACAGAGAUUCAGUGGGAAUCAAUUCAGUAAGAAAUUAGGAGGAAAAUAAACGGCCCUGAUCACCGAGGGGCCCCGCAGCUGCUCUGUCCUCACGUUUUCUAUCCCGUCAAGCCCUGAGCGACAAGGCAUGUGCUCAAGCAGGAGGCUCGGCUGCCCUUGGUGGGUAUCGGGGUGAGUAUCUGCACCUCCUUCCCUGAUCGGGAGACUUUAUGUCAAUCCACUGGCUUUACUUAGUGCAGUGACACAGGGGAUGGUGGAGGGGCUAAUGGAAGACGAAUGCAUCUGACAUUUCUAGAGCACCGUGGGGGGCCAGUGUUUCUACCCCGCUAGGAAAUAAAUGUGCAAUACCGAGUUUCUGAUGAAUACUGUGAGAAACAGUCCAAGGUUCAAAUUUAACAGCACGGGAAAAUGUCUUUUGAAUCAGAAGAUGAGAACCCAAGGGAGUUGAAUUAACAACAUAGCACAACAUUUUACCAAGUAAUAGGACCAUAUUUCCCCUUUAUGGGGCACUGCUCAGGGCAAUAUUUAAUCUCUUGAGUUUAAUGAACUUUUGAAACUACUCAAUAAAUACUCAAGGCCAUGACAAGCACUGUCAUAAGAUAAAUCCAGCCCUACUUCAAUGGACUAUAUCAUUUCUGUUAUUAAAAAAGGUUAAUUUUAAUAUUCAAGGAACUCAGUUCUCUGGAAAAUCACGUCGGGGCGCCGUGCGUUCCAUCCCGGUGGCGCCCUGUGAUCAUGCAUACUGAGCAGCGUGGGACUCCGAGCGGAAUCGCAGGGGAGCCUCUGCUUCCAGGGAGGCUGCGUCCUGACAGCAAAACACUCGUUUGGUGGAAGGAUCUGCCUCGGGUUCCUGUCCCUCCCCAGCCCAGAGGCAGCAUGUCCGGGUCCCGUGUUAAGGCCACUCACACUGCACGUUAAACCACUGGAGGAGUCCCUGUGACCGUGUCACAUGCCCGGGUUCACCUCCUGCAGCACGGGCUGCCCGACCACCACUUGGUCCUGCAAAGCUCUCUAGGCCUUUCUCCACAGCCCCCGCGAUGCUGAAACCCACGGCAAGCGAGGCGGGGGAAGGGUUGAGAAGUAGCCAGCUCUCCCCUAUCCCAUAAUAUCUCCAUGCUGAGUCACUGGGGCUGUCUUUCUCCCAAUUGCUCAUCUUUGCCUUUCUGCACAAUGCAGGCAGGGGGAAGUGUACCUGGCAGAAAAAAAUCCCAGAGCCCUGCAGGCCCCGGAGCUGCUGUCCCUCCUAGCGUCUCAGUGUACCCAAGGGCUUGCCUCAGGAAAGCUGCCUGACACCAGCAAAUUGGAUGCAGGGCAGGUAAUUAGGGACAGACAAUAUCCUCCCACUGUUAUUUCUUGUCCACCUACGCAAAAGAAGCAGAAGCACUGGUUCUCCGCUUUUCUACCUAAGGAUCGUUCUGCUCACAUUCCCCACGGGAGAGAAGAAGAGCUUUGGACCAACUGUCUUACUAACCAAGCACAGACAUGCUGCAACCAGGAAACAUCCCACAGGAAAUGAGACCAACAGAUACAAAACACACAGCUUUGCUGUCUAAGAAGGAGCCUCCUCUGUUUAGACAAUUGCUGAGCCCCUUACGCCACACGUGCAGAGUGGUGGGGCAUGUGUCUAGCCCUGGCGAUGUCCCUUAGUCCAAUAAAGCGGUUCGGAGGGCGCAGGUGGUGGACAUUCUCAUCUACCGCAGGAAGUGCCCUGGCUAGCAGGUCACCCACAAAAACCAGCUGCCCCCCACCUUUCUCCUGACGCAAGUGUCAGAUCAGAUAGGUUUAGCAAGUCCGGACCCAGCCCAGCCCCGACGGCUUCCAGGCCCCUCAAUACAGCACUCAGCCCCUCUCCCUAAAUGGCACUAAUUCUGUCCACUUGAGUAAAUUAUUGCGUUCCUGGGCUCACUUACUUGGCAAACCACAGAGUGGGCACAUCUUGGGGGUGUUUUCUAGAACAAAUGUCCAAGUGCUCUGAGGCCUGAGGCUGCGUGCAGACCUUCAACCUGGCACCCCAAAAUUCCCCAUGCAGGACAAAAAGAAGCAGACAGGAGCAGUGUGCUGUGGUCAGGCUACCCCCCACUGCGGCACUGCCUCCUCUUCCCCAGCUU
rnacentral:lncRNA from 1 species